rnacentral:rRNA from 1 species
AUCGGGUAAUGCCGGGCACUCUGGAAGGACUGCCAUCGACAAGAUGGAGGAAGGUGGGGAGUGACGUCAAGUCAUCAUGGCCCUUAUGUCCAGGGCGACACACGUGCUACAAUGGCCGGCACAACGGGAAGCGAGUUCGCGAGGACGAGCGGAUCCCUUAAAGCCGGUCGCAGUUCGGAUUGAAGUCUGCAACUCGACUUCAUGAAGCUGGAAUCGCUAGUAAUCGUGGAUCAGCCAAGCCGCGGUGAAUACGUUCCCGGGCCUU